rnacentral:rRNA from 1 species
UUCCUACGGGAGGCAGCAGUAGGGAAUCUUCCGCAAUGGACGAAAGUCUGACGGAGCAACGCCGCGUGAGUGAUGAAGGUUUUCGGAUCGUAAAGCUCUGUUGUUAGGGAAGAACAAGUGCCGUUCGAAUAGGGCGGCACCUUGACGGUACCUAACCAGAAAGCCACGGCUAACUACGUGCCCAGCAGCCGCGGUAAUACGUAGGUGGCAAGCGUUGUCCGGAAUUAUUGGGCGUAAAGCGCGCGCAGGUGGUUCCUUAAGUCUGAUGUGAAAGCCCACGGCUCAACCGUGGAGGGCAUUGGAAACUGGGGAACUUGAGUGCAGAAGAGGAAAGUGGAAUUCCAAGUGUAGCGGUGAAAUGCGUAGAUAUUUGGAGGAACACCAGUGGCGAAGGCGACUUUCUGGUCUGUAACUGACACUGAGGCGCGAAAGCGUGGGGAGCAAACAGGAUUAGAUACCCUGGUAGUCCACGCCGUAAACGAUGAGUGCUUAGUUUAGGGGGUUUCCGCCCCUUAGUGCUGCAGCUAACGCAUUAAGCAUCCGCCUGGAGACGCCCGG